GUAAGACUGGGAUAACUCCGGGAAACCGGAGCUAAUACCGGAUAGUUCCUUGAACCGCAUGGUUCAAGGAUGAAAGACGGUUUCGGCUGUCACUUACAGAUGGACCCGCGGCGCAUUAGCUAGUUGGUGGGGUAAUGGCUCACCAAGGCGACGAUGCGUAGCCGACCUGAGAGGGUGAUCGGCCACACUGGGACUGAGACACGGCCCAGACUCCUACGGGAGGCAGCAGUAGGGAAUCUUCCGCAAUGGACGAAAGUCUGACGGAGCAACGCCGCGUGAGUGAUGAAGGUUUUCGGAUCGUAAAGCUCUGUUGUUAGGGAAGAACAAGUGCGAGAGUAACUGCUCGCACCUU
rnacentral:rRNA from 1 species